rnacentral:rRNA from 1 species
GUAUUAGUUAUAGUCUUGAAACUUAAAGAAUUUGGCGGUAUUUUAAUCUUUUUAGAGGAACCUGUUCUAUAAUCGAUAAUCCACGUUUAAUCUUACUAAAUUUGUUUAUUUAUAUAUCGUUGUCGUAAGAAUAUUUUAUAAGAAUAUAAAUUUUCUAAUAUUUUUAUUAAAAUAAAUGUCAAAUCAAGGUGUAGUUUAUAAUUUAGUAGAAAUGGGUUACAAUAAAAUUAUUUAAAUGGAUUUAUAAUUGAAAAUUAUAAUGAAGGUGGAUUUAAUAGUAAAUUAAUUUUAAUAAAUUUAAUUGAUUAAAGUUCUAAAAUAUGUACACAUCGCC